UACGUAGGGUGCGAGCGUUAAUCGGAAUUACUGGGCGUAAAGCGUGCGCAGGCGGUUUUGUAAGCCAGAUGUGAAAGCCCCGGGCUCAACCUGGGAAUGGCAUUUGGGACUGCAAGGCUGGAGUUUGGCAGAGGAGACUGGAAUUCCUGGUGUAGCAGUGAAAUGCGUAGAUAUCAGGAGGAAUACCGAUGGCGAAGGCAGGUCUCUGGGCUAUAACUGACGCUGAGACGCGAAAGCGUGGGGAGCAAACAGG
rnacentral:rRNA from 1 species